UACAGAGGAUGCAAGCGUUAUCCGGAAUGAUUGGGCGUAAAGCGUCUGUAGGUGGCUUUUUAAGUCCGCCGUCAAAUCCCAGGGCUCAACUCUGGACAGGCGGUGGAAACUACCAAGCUGGAGUACGGUAGGGGCAGAGGGAAUUUCCGGUGGAGCGGUGAAAUGACGUAGAUAUCUGGAGGAACACCGGUGGCGAAGGCGGCAUCCUGGACCAACACUGACGCUGAGUGAGCGAAAGCCAGGGGAGCAAACGGG
rnacentral:rRNA from 1 species